UAAUACGUACGCAGCAANCGUUGUUCGGAGUUACUGGGCGUAAAGGGUGUGUAGGCGGUUCUUUAAGUUUGGUGUGAAAUCUCCCGGCUCAACUGGGAGGGUGCGCCGAAUACUGAGGGACUUGAGUGCGGGAGAGGAAAGUGGAAUUCCUGGUGUAGCGGUGAAAUGCGUAGAUAUCAGGAGGAACACCGGUGGUGUAGACGGCUUUCUGGACCGUAACUGACGCUGAAACACGAAAGCGUGGGUAGCAAACAGGAUUAGAUACCCUGGUAGUCCACGCCCUAAACGAUGCAUAUUUGGUGUGGGCAGUUCAUUCCGUCCGUGCCGGAGCUAACGCGUUAAAUAUGCCGCCUGGGGAGUACAGUCGCAAGGCUGAAACUCAAANGAAUUGACGGGGGCCCGCACAAACGGUGGAACAUGUGGUUCAAUUCGACGCAACGCGAAGAAACCUUACNUGGGNUCGAACGGGUAGUCAACGGGCGGUGAAAACAUNCCUACCCCGCAAGGGGNUCUAUUCGAGGUGCUGCAUGGCUGUCGUCAGGUCGUGUCGUGAGAUGUUGGGUUAAGUCCCGCAACGAGCGCAACCCUUGUCCUGUGUUGCCAUCAUUCAGUUGGGAACUCGCAGGAGACCGCCAGCGAUAAGUUGGAGGAAGGUGGGGAUGACGUCAAGUCCUCAUGGCCUUUAUGUCCAGGGCUACACACGUGCUACAAUGGACGGUACAAAGCGCAGCGAACCCGCGAGGGGGAGCCAAUCGCAAAAAACCGUUCUCAGUUCGGAUUGCAGGCUGCAACUCGCCUGCAUGAAGCUGGAAUCGCUAGUAAUGGCAGAUCAGCACGCUGCCGUGAAUACGUUCCCGGGCCUUGUACACACCGCCCGUCACAUCACGAAAGUGGAUUGUACUAGAAGUCUGCAGGCUGACCCGCAAGGGAGGCAACGGCCCAAGGUAUGAUCCAUGAUUGGGGUG
rnacentral:rRNA from 1 species